rnacentral:rRNA from 1 species
AUUGAACGCUGGCGGCAGGCCUAACACAUGCAAGUCGAGCGGAUGAAGGGAGCUUGCUCCUGGAUUCAGCGGCGGACGGGUGAGUAAUGCCUAGGAAUCUGCCUGGUAGUGGGGGAUAACGUCCGGAAACGGGCGCUAAUACCGCAUACGUCCUGAGGGAGAAAGUGGGGGAUCUUCGGACCCCACGCUAUCAGAUGAGCCUAGGUCGGAUUAGCUAGUUGGUGGGGUAAAGGCCUACCACGGCGACGAUCCGUAACUGGUCUGAGAGGAUGAUCAGUCACACUGGAACUGAGACACGGUCCAGACUCCUACGGGAGGCAGCAGUGGGGAAUAUUGGACAAUGGGCGAAAGCCUGAUCCAGCCAUGCCGCGUGUGUGAAGAAGGUCUUCGGAUUGUAAAGCACUUUAAGUUGGGAGGAAGGGCAGUAAGUUAAUACCUUGCUGCUUUGACGUUACCAACAGAAUAAGCACCGGCUAACUUCGUG